GACCACGGUGGUGAGGAUCAGAGUCAGGACCAGUUCAGCCAGAGUGGCCCGGCCCAGGUCGGUGGUCCCCGGGUGAAGAGCUGCUCCCACUGCAGCCUCGUACAUGCUGGGAGGAAACACAGCCUGGAGGGGGAGGGGGGCGGCACCGAUCAUCCCCCCGAUGAGCUGAGCGACGACGUAGGGCAGCAGCAGCAGCAGCUGCAUCCCUCCACACAGACACACACUGAGAGACACGGCCGGGUUCAGGUGACCACCACUGCCGCAGACAUAGAGGGGAGACGUGAGGGAGCUCUGACAUCAACUGUCACAUGGUACGCAGACGUCAAACAGCAUCAACAUAAAGUCAAAGGUGAUUUAUUUGUCAUGGACAUUUUGUUUAAAGUUCACUGGUUUGUGACAGAAGAAAAGCAGCGCAGCUGAGAGUGAAGCUUUGGGCAGACAGUAGUGAGAGCUGCUGUGAUGUUUGGUUUCAGAUGAGCUGGAGAUGGAGAUGAAGAUGCUGAUGAUGAAGAUGGACACAGGCAGAGACAAUCAGAUCAGAGGGACAGUGAAGGUGGAGAAGCUGAAGGAAGGCAGCCAGAAGAACGAAAGCAAGAAGAAACCAAAAAGAACUUUUAAAGAAAAUGUUUAAAAGGGACAGUUCAGAAAUAUUAAAGUU